UUCUUCUCGCUAGGGCGUGGGGUGGUCCGCGAUGGCGGCGAAAGGCACGCUCUGUCCGGUCCGCGAUGGCGGAGACCCUACAGCCCCGGCAACCCGGACCCGAAGCCCCUAACCCCAAACCCUUACCCUACCGGCGGCCACUCACCGGAGACCUCACACCCCGCCCUCGCCCAGUCCCUGGCCCACCGGCUGUCAAGCCGCUGCCCCCCGGCCGGUGGCGUCCCCGCCGCCGCGCUGCCCCGCAACCCACCUCCGCCGCCGGGCUUCCUGCUCCCCCCUCCACCCCUUUUCUAAGGUCGGGAGCCAAUGAAGCUCCCCGACAACCCCACGCCCGAAGACCCUAACCUAGCGACGCGGUGGCGCCGGCGGCGAGCGGAGGUCGAACCGGCUAGCGGAGGUGGAAGAAGGCAGAGGAGGUAGUGACGCUGACAAACGGGACCCACGCAUAUGAGUCGUCACGCCCCCUUCGUCGCCAGUCUUUGAAGAAAGGCGGCGGGCAACGAGUGACCGAGCAACACCAAGCCAUAUGCUGCUCCUGUGCAGCAGCAAUAUAUGCAACGAGCACUGCAUUGGCGAGGGUGCCACCAUGGGAAAAUAUGGCUUACUCAUCGUCAGGUCCUUCUGCUUCUGCACCAAAGAAUGCGACUGAAUCCAGUGACCUCAGCUGUAAUGGUCACUGACGAAUAAGAGCAUAAGGUUCUGAUCCAAGGUAUGGAUGCUGAUAAGAAGUUGGUCAAACAACUUGGUGCCCUUGCCAACACCGGGCGCUAGUCUUGAAGAUUGGUGGCGACAAUCUCUUCAGGCGCUGAACAGGAGGCAACGACGUGCAAUGGCGGGUCUGGAAUCCAUGGAACGAGAGGAACAGGCGUAUAUUUGGAGUAGUUGAGGCGGCGCCACCACGAGUGCUGUGUCUCAUCAAGGAAGAAAUCAGCUUGCGCCAGUAAGCAUGUGGAGCACCGAGUGUACCUUAGUUUUUCAUUAUGUUAGACCUAUGUUAUUUGAGUAAUGCAAU